AAAAGUUUGACUUCAGUCUGCGCCCUGUGCAGAUAGGACAUCAAAAACACCGUUCCACAAUUCGUUCACGAUUUUCUGCUACUGUUGGAAGCUUAAGUCUGGUACCGUCAUCAGAAAUAUUGAACUUUGCAAGCAGGCUGCUCUCAGAACUUGGGGCAAAGGUCUACAGGAACACAUUAAGGAUGCCUGCUUUAAUUUUAGAUAAGAAGGAGAGGAAAAUGUCAAGGUUCAUUUCAAAGAACAGUCUGGUGGCAGAUCCCUGCGCUGUCGAGGAAGAAAGGGGUCUGAUCAAU
rnacentral:misc_RNA from 1 species